rnacentral:rRNA from 1 species
GAUGAACGCUGGCGGCGUGCCUAAUACAUGCAAGUCGAGCGGUAAGGCCACUUCGGUGGUACACGAGCGGCGGACGGCUGAGUAACACGUAGGAACGUACCCCAAAGUGAGGGAUAAGCGCCGGAAACGGCGUCUAAUACCGCAUGUGGUCUCCGGACUAAAGCUCCGGCGCUUUGGGAACGGCCUGCGCAUGAUUAGCUUGUUGGUAAGGUAAUGGCUUACCAAGGCGACGAUCAUUAGCUGGUCUGAGAGGAUGAUCAGCCAGACUGGGACUGAGACACGGCCCAGACUCCUACGGGAGGCAGCAGUAGGGAAUCUUCCACAAUGGGCGAAAGCCUGAUGGAGCAACGCCGCGUGCAGGAUGAAUGCCUUCGGGUUGUAAACUGCUUUUAUCUGUGACGAUUAUGACGGUGGCAGAUGAAUAAGGAUCGGCUAACUCCGUGCCAGCCGCCGCCGUAA